AAAUUUUCAAAUACCACCCUAUAGAUUUACACUUUCUUAUUUUGGUAUCCUGUGAUUUAUAAUGUAUCAAUUUAGUAUCUUGUGGUUUUAUUUUUCUCUUUUUGUUAUCAUUUUCACUAUUUUUUUUUUUCGUUAAAUCAAUGACAAAAUUAAAACUAAAGUAUACUCAAGUGAAUAUUCGAUGAAUCUAGAUUGAGUAUUUGAAGUUUUUUGUAUAUAAUUUAGCGAAAUAUUAACGGAGGAGCUGACGAAAAGAAAAAAAUGAAACCACAUAUUCUAAAUUGAUGCACUUUAAAUCACAGAGUCUAAAGUGAGAAACUGCGAAACCACGGGGUGGUAUUGGAAGUUUGUCGAUAAUAAUAAGGGUAAAUUGUACUGCUGGUCCCUAAUCUUUAUCAAUUAUUUCACUUUGAUCCCCAAACAUUUCGGCUAAAUUAUGAGAAGCUCCUCAUGUUUCAUCUGUAUUAAUUAUCCUCUUAUAUUUUAGAGAUACAACUUGCUGUAAACAUAUCGAAUAGCAAAUAUAUUUCUAUAAAGCUCGACUUUUUAUUUUUACUACUAUAAAAAUUCAGUGAUAUUCAUAUUUGCCCCUCUGUUUUGCUAUCGUUAGAGCAUUGUUUAUUUUUUAACAGCAGAUAAGUGAAAUAAUAUUUUUGUCCUUAUAAUUAAAUAUAGCCCUCCAAAAGCUCAAAUUGUUAGAAUUAUGCAAAAAUAUCCUUUGAAAAAAAUAUUUUAUCCAAUAAUAUAAGAAGNAGGCGCGGGCGAGGGCGCGGGAGCGCAGCGCGGGCGCGCAGCGCGGCGCUGGGCGGGCUCGGCGCUGCGUGGGGUGGGUCUUCACGGGGUCCGCGAGGCCAAAGUGGCCCCGUGAACCACAUGAUAGGGAGGUCCACGGUGGACCUCCCUCUCAUUCUUUAUAUAUUUAUUUAUUAUAUAUAGUAUUUUAUUUUUAUAUAGAUGUAUCAUUAUAUAAUAAUUUAUUAUAUAAUUUACCAUUUAUUUUUAUAAAAUAUAAAAUAUAUAAAUAAAUGUUAAAUAAUUUAGACUAUCUCUUCUCAUUCACUAACUGCUGGAGGACUACGAUACCUACUAAAAUUAUUUCACUAAGUAAUGGGGGACUACUAUGUCUACUAAAAUUUUUUGAUAUACUUAUUGCAUUAUUUAAAUUCUGAAAUUAAUUUUUAUAACUAAUUUUUAAAAUUAAAUUUUAAAAUAAUUACCCGCAGCAUCCCGUGGGUCCCUUAACUAGUGUUCAUACUAAAAGUCCAAAAUUUGCUA
rnacentral:lncRNA from 1 species